rnacentral:lncRNA from 1 species
GAUAAGACAAGUUCGACAAUUUUGCAAUAUACUGAUAUCAUCAUCUAUGGAUGAUAUCGAGGACAAAGAAUAUAAUUCUUAUAAAUUAACGUAAUGUUCAAAAGAAAACAUAUAUAAUAAACUCUAAAUUUAUUUAUAUAUUACAGUAUAUAGUAGAAUUUUUUCUCUUGUAAACUACAAGAUAAUUAUAGAUAUCGAAUAUCUCGUAUAUACUGUAUUCUUUCUCCAGAACUGCAAUAUGAUAAUUCACGUAUUAACUAAUGAGAGACUUCCUUCCGGAAAUAAGCCACAUGACCAAUAGUAAUUCGCCCCAUAUUGCACGAAAUUUAAUCAGUAUUGAGAUAUUAUCACCCUUAAUUUACAGUUCGUAUUAGAUAGUUAAUAAAUAUGGAUUACAAGAAUGAUCCAUCAAGCUCAGUAGAAGCAGAUGUUCAUAUAACCAGAAAAGGGAGAAUUUUUCCAAAAAAAUCAUCACUUUCUGAAUUUGAUAAAUCAUAUGAUGAUUGUAAUAAUUUGGAUAAUUCUGAAAAAAUGAAGAUAGUUCAUACUGAAAAGUCUAAAAAGGAAGAAUUUGAAAAAGUAUGGGGGAAUACAAAAGAAAAAUUAUGAUAUUUUAGAUGAUGUACUUUUCGUUUCUGGAUAAAAUUUAGAAUACAAAAGAAAAAUUAUGAUAUUUUAGAUGAUGUACUUUUCGUUUCUGGAUAAAAUUUAGAAUACAAAAGAAAAAUUAUGAU